AGAGUGAACGCUGGCGGCAGGCCUAACACAUGCAAGUCGAGCGGCAGCGCGGGGGCAACCCUGGCGGCGAGCGGCGGACGGGUGAGGAAUACAUCGGAAUCUACCUUGUUGUGGGGGAUAACGUAGGGAAACUUACGCUAAUACCGCAUACGACCUGAGGGUGAAAGCGGGGGACCGCAAGGCCUCGCGCGACAAGAUGAGCCGAUGUCCGGUUAGCUAGUUGGUGAGGUAAAGGCUCACCAAGGCGACGAUCGGUAGCUGGUC
rnacentral:rRNA from 1 species